ACACUGAUUUCUUCCUCCGACGAACUCCCAGGUUUUUCAUAUGGAUUUUUAUACUUUUUUUUUCCUUCCACCAUCUCAAUUUUUUUUCUACAACUGUGAUUGUUUAAUCAACUACAAGGAAGAUGGUGAUGGUGGCCUGAAAAGGAACGAUGACAACGGCAUGGGUUGAUUUAGGGUUUCUCCGGUGGUGGUCUUAUUAUGGUUGUGGUUUAACGCGGCGGCGGCUAGGGUUCCACCACAUAACUUUGAUCAGUUGUGGUUUCGGCCGCGUAUCGUAAACACAAUGUUGGGUUGAAAAGUCAAAAUGGAUGGCUAUGGGAUGGGAACAAAAGAUAGAAAGUAGUAGCAUGCUAUUCACUAAUUUUGCUGGUUUGGAAAAACGAGCUUGACUCAGGGAAGCCUAUGGAACUCAUGUUGUCAGCCACUAAUUUGCAGCAAAUAAAAGGUGUUAAAUAGAGGUACCAAAAAGGACAGUCUUUAUAAUAAAGUUAACUUAAUCGUCCAUGGUUGCGAUGCUCAAUAAGAGAAUUGUUACAGAGUCUCCCAAAGUGAAAUGCUAUUGGUGAAAUGACUCAUGCUAAUGUGGUUCGUGUACGUUUUAUUACAAGUACUGCACCAAUAUAGAGCUCAGUAUUUAUGAUGUCGGCUGGAUUCACUUUUACCCAAAACUAUAUGCUUCAUGCUAACAGGAACUUGAAAGGUUGGCUGAUGAGCUCCGAGAAGAGUCUAUACAGGUUCAAAGACUGGGGGUUACCUGAAUUCAAAUUUAGGGGCCGUCGAACUAACCGUCACACUGCACCGUGUGUUUUCAACAUCCCUAAAGACAAGAUCAUUUGGAAUAUUGGCCACCAUUCAUACCCACGUAAGAUAUUGACCGGGAGGCAAGCGCAAAUGGGGACGCUUUGGCAAACGGGUGGACUUGUAGGUUUGCCGAAGAGAGUAAACAUGACGCUUUUGGUGUUAGUCAUAGCUUGGCUAGCAUUUCGACGGGUUUAGGACCCGUGUUGAGUUUAGGCAUGUGCAUUCAAGUAUUUCACUUUGACGUAUCGACGGCCUAAGCUUCAGGUGGGCCGGGUCGAAAUUUAAACCUUGGUGGUGGAACAUUUGAUGUCAGUUUAUAUUUUGACUUGAUAAUGGUGCUUUUGUGGUUCUUACGACAAAUUGAGCCAUUCAUCUUGGAGGGACUUAUUAUGUAAGGACUUUGACCAAAGGCUCAGCAUUACGAGCUCUUUCUCCGGAAGAUUUAGUCAUGCUUUCCCCCUAUCAGCUAGCCGCUUUCAAGGUAUUUAGUCUCUUGUAUCGGACCCAUGUGGUGAACACAAUAGCUGUAAUGGUGCAUACAAAGGAUUGAAUUCUGGCGGCAACAUCGGCAAAUCAGUAUAGUAGGAAGUGGCUUUAUCACUUUCAUUCAUUUUUGGAAGCUUGAAUUCUGACGGCAACAUCGGCAAAUCAGUAUAGUAGGAAGUAGCUUUAUCACUUUCAUUCAUUUUUGGAAGCUUCUUAGGUUUUCAGUGAAUUUGCAUGAUUUCAGGUGAGUUUUCAGAGAGUUGUAUCUUUGAGUUUAUUUUGUUCAUUUGUUUCAAAUGAUCACAUAUUUAGAGCGGCAAAUGGUCAAUUUUUUUAAAAUUUAUUGGUUCAUCUUUGUAUCAGAGUAUAGGGUAUAUUGUA